rnacentral:SRP_RNA from 1 species
AGUGCCACGGCAGCGGGUCGGCCACGAACCAGGUCAGGGCCGGAAGGCAGCAGCCUUAAGAGGUACGGCCCGUGUGUCGCCAGUGUGGAGCAGGC